GGGGGUUUUUGAAGUUUUCCCUAAAUUUUAAUUCAAAGUUCAAAUUUGUAUUCAGAGGAAUUUAGUUUUAUGUUUUGAAUUGUCUAUUUUGUUUUCCAAAUUCAGUUUGCCAUCCUACACGUCAAUUUUUUGUUAGUUUGAUGAGUAUAUCGGCCAAUUAUUUGCCGAAUCUUGUAUUGCUCUGUAUAUUUCAGCUUACCAUCCUAGACAUCUCUUUUUUAGUUAGUUUGAUGAAUGUAUAUGCUGGUUUUUCAUUGCAUCUAGCUAUACUGUCCUUCAGUAUGCCAUCCUAGGCAUUAUUUUCUUAUUUCUUAUUUGAUUAUAAAUAGGGCACAAGUUCCAAGGAUCAUUUUCUUAUGUAGAUUUUUUUUUCUAAUUGAGUUUGAUUUUUUCUUUUUAUCUUUUGGCAAAAACAUAGUCACUUAUUGUAGGCAUAUUAAUUUUGUUGCUUCACUAGACUAGGCUCCUUUACGAUGCUUCCCAGACUCUCUUAUGGAAAACAUGCUCAUCUUUUGUUGAAUUAUUGUUGUUUUCUUUUUUCGGAGAAACUGUGAACACCCUUUAUCUUGUAUUCUCAUUCCAGUCUAAGUGAAUUCAUCCUAUUUUCACUCUUUCAAACUGAUCUUUGUCUUUCUUCUCCCGGUAUGCUGACCUGUUGUAAAAUAAUUCUUUUUGGUACACGACAAGUCUAAGAAACUUUGUAGUCAAUGCUUUUGAGUUUGGCUAUAUUUCCCAAUUGAUUUGAAAAAGGGCACAAGUAGCAAUGAUUCGAAAUAUGGCAUUUUUUUAUGGUCCUUUUUUAAGUGACAAUAUAUGGUUUCAUGAUUCUAUUUUCUAUGUAAUAUGUACGCCUUUUUUCAGUUCAUUUUGCUCCCCAAAACAUAUAUUUUCGGUUACUUUGAUGGUAUAUGUGUUGUAUACGUGCUGGAUCAUAGUCUUGCACCCCAGUUAGUUCAGUUUCCUCUCAAAAGCCUCGUUUUUUUCAGCUAGAUGAUGAUAAUAUAUGUGUUAUGUAUGCUGAUUGAAUCAUAUCUAGCUGUCUAGUUUGUUCAUUUUGCUUUCGUAAAGGUCUAAUAUUCAGUUUGCUGAAGAUGUAUGCUGUAUAUCACUGAAUUCGCUCAGUUCAAGUUGUUCUCUUAAACUGCUAAGUUGUAGCUAGGUUGAUAAAAUUUAUGUGAUGAAUUACUAAUUUGAUGUCCAUUCAGCUCAUUUUGCUCUCCGAAAACUCCAAUUUAGUUAGUUUGAUGAAUGUAUGUGUAUCUGGUUUGUUCUUUGUCAUCUUAGAUACUAAUUCUUUUUGACACGAUGUUUGACUGGGUUGCAAGACUACUACAAUUGCGGUUUAUUUAUAAUAGCAAUGACGUAGUGGUGAGGAUCUUUCUUUGUGGUUGCCUUGUUUUCAGAAGGUACCAGUUCAUAAGUCCUCAUCUAAUUAUCAGUUAGGUAUACAUGCAAGUUGUGGCAAACUUAUUUUUAUGCCUGAUAUUUCAGUUUGCUCACACAAAACUCUAAUCAUGGGUUAGCGUCACGGGUAUAUGCUGGUUAUUGUUGAAUCAUUUCUUGUGAUCUUAUUAACCUAUAUUUGAUUAAUAUGUGGGUUUUGAUUAAUAUAUAUGCUGGUCGUCUUGAAUCAUAUUUUGCUCUAUAAAUUGUUCUGUUUUCUCUCGUGAACUCUGAAUUAUGAUUUAGUUUGUUGACUAGUUGUGUGAUCCUGCCCAAUUAGCUCAUUCUGCUCUCAAUAAACCUAACAUUUUCAGUUUGUCUGAUGAAAUAUAUUCAGCAUAUGUGCUGAAUCAUAUCUUGCCGUUAAGUUCUGUUUGUUCUCGUAAACCUUCAAUACUUAUUUUGAUGGAAGUAUACGAUGUAUAUUGCUGAAUCGUAUCUUGCUAUUCAGUUUAGUUUGCUUUUUUAAACAUCUAUUUUUCAGUCAGUAUGAUGAAAAUAUCUACUGGCUAUGGUAUUAAUUAUAAUUCGCUAUCUGUUUAUUCAUUUUGCUCUUCUAAAAGGCUUCUAAAAGUCAAGCUUUCAGUAAGUUUAAUGAAUAUAUGCAUUGUAAUGCGCCUGGACAGUUCAUUUUGCUAGUAUGAUGAGAUAGGAUCCUCUGUUUGUUGCAUCCGCCAUACAUGCGUGAGACAUUGUGUGGCUGUAUUAAGUAUAUUAGUUUCAUUUUUGAUUCCAAACAUGUGUAUAAUUUCAGGGUUUCUUUCAUAUGACAGCUUAGUUUUUGGAUUCGGUGUGAGCUAAUGUUAGAGAAUUAAUGAAUCUUAUUUUAUCCGUAUAUUUUUAGUUUGUUUUUUCUUUCUUUUAUGAUUGUAUCAGCUUUUAUUGAGGAGACGGGUUUAUGGUAAAAACCCGAUUUGACGCUUUUAUUGCGAAAUCCCAACAAUCGGUGCCGAAUCCACAACAGUAAGUAUCGCAGCGGAUUGCGGAUUCUCAAAAUCCGGUACCGGGGCGAGUACCAGAUUCCCAACACUACCUUUUUUGUUAAAAUUUUUUAAAAUUCCAUGUUCGACUUGAAUAAAGAAACUUAUCUACAAGAUAUGUAGUGUCAUUUAUGUGCCAACUAUGGCCGUUACAUCUUACUUGCACCUACGUUUGUCAAACACAAAGCGUGAUCCUUUCAAAUUGGCCCUUUCCAAUUUUACCAUGAUAUUCAAAUCUAGUAUCUUUAGUAUACUCUUCAAUCAGUUCUCCGUUGAUGUUGGCUUCCCUUUGCUAGAUACACCCUUGAUUGAUAGAUCUUUCCUUAUUUUCGAGGAAAUUAGGAUUCGUGAAAAUCUUGGUCUUCUAGUGCGCACAUUUUCCUUUCCUGGUUGGUCAAUCUUAGUAUCUGAGCAGAAUCAGAUUUCAACCUCCUUGGACAAACCUAAUUGAUGCAUUGCAUUUUUUUUUCUGUGGUUCUUCUGUCGGUUGGAUUAGUGGAUCCCUAUCCUAAGAAUAGAACAAGAAAGGAUCUUAAUUAUUUGGGGGAACCAUCUCUUUUCAUUGUAUUUAACUAAAUUCCAUCCUUGAUGAGUUCGAAGAAAUCCUGAGCAUUAUCUGGGAGCAUGUGGUUAUCUACAUCAUUAUCACUUAUUAUAUAUUUAUCUGGGCAUGUUGGUUUGACUUGAUCUCGUUAAUCAACUAAGCUCGCUUGAACUUGUGACAGUUUAAAGGAUAUCGUCUUUGCUAUUGAUUCUUCCAUAUAUAGUUCCAAGACCCUUUUUUCUAUAGCAAUUUAUGUAUUUGAUAAAUGUAUGCUUAAGGGUAUCAAAGUAGGCAUUUUGCUCAGCCUAUUUCAUAAAUUUGAGUUGUUUGGUAAUAUGUUUAUUUUUUCUGUCAUGUUUUUCUAUUUGAUAGACUUGGCUGUUAUAAUUGAGGUUUGUCAACAAUGCCAUAUAACUUGCUCCAUCCACUUAAAGAUGAUGCCCAAUUCUUUAGGUUAUUGCCUUUAAAGGACAUCAUUUGUAUUAUUGAUUCUUCCAUAUAUAAUUCUAAGGCCGUUGUUUUGAUAGCAAUUUAUAUAUUGAUAAAUGUAUGUUAAAUGGUAACAAAGUGAGCGUUGUGUUUUGUCUAUGACUCUGCUAUAAAUUUGACCUGUUUUGUAAUGUUUGCUUGUCCUGAGCUAUUUUGUAAUAUUUUCUUGUCUUAUCAUGUUCUUCUAUAUAUAACUAGAAGCCAAUCAUUCCAUGGGCCCUUGUAUAAAUGCACGAUGUAUCGAAGUGGGUGUUGUGUUUUUCCUAUGCAAUAAUUUUGGGUUGUUUUGUAAUGUUUUUUUCUUCUGCAAUGUUAGUAGCCAAUCUGCAGAAUACCAUGGGCGUUAGUAUAAAUGCAGAGCUUACUAAAAUAAUAGCAAAAAGUUGCAUGUAGCCCGUUGCAUGCAACACUAAAGUAUACACGUUUUUAAAAACAAUUUGGAUCAGUUGGAUUGAUCAAUGUAUUGCUAACGCCAAAAUUGCUAUCCUGAUUAACGGCGUCCCGACUAAAUGGAUUAAAACCAGAAGAAGACUUCGACAAGGUAACCCGUUAUCUCCAUACCUCUUCCUCCUAGUCGCAGAGGGGCUUGCAAGGGUGAUGAUUAGAGCUGUUGGUAAAAAGGCACCUUACCUCGCCUUUCUCUUUAGAAGAGAUAAAAAAGGCAACUUUCCAACUUGCUGGGGACAAGGCGCCUGGCCCAGACGGCUUUAACUUACGUUUCUUUCAGGUGUUCUCGGACACGAUUAAGAAGGAUUUAUUCAAUAUCUUUCGGGACCUGUCUGACGGGUUGCUAAACUCAGCCCCGCCGGAUUAUUCGUAUAUUUGUCUAGUCUCGAAGAAAGAGGGCGUGAAAGUUGCUAACGAUUUUCGACCUAUCAGUUUUAUCAACGGAGCUCAAAAGAUAAUCUCAAAGGUGCUGGCUAACAGACUUGAGGGUGUUCUACAUACUAUCAUUUCGCCUUCGCAGUCGGCCUUCCUCAAGGGAAGAUCGAUCUUAGACUCCUUCGUAACUGCUAGCGAGGUUGUAAAUUGGUGCUCUAAAUCAGGGAUUGAUAGUAUCGGAGUUAAAGCUGAUUUUGAGAAAGCUUACGACAGAGUCUGCUGGGAUUUCCUUUGGAAAAUAUUUACUUGGCUCGGGGCACCUCAGCUUUGGAUCAGUUGGAUCGAUCAAUGUAUUGCUAACGCCAAAAUUGCUAUCCUGAUUAACGGCGUCCCGACUAAAUGGAUUAAAACCAGAAGAGGACUUAGAUAAGGUGACCCGUUAUCUCCAUACCUCUUCCUCCUAGUCGCAGAGGGGCUUGCAAGGGUGAUGAGUAGAGCUGUUGGUAACAGACUGAUGAGGGGGAUAGGGCCUAACGACGAUAGCAAGGUGACAUUUCUUCAGUACGCGGAUGAUAUCAUUUUCUUCUGCGAGGCCAAGGAGAGACAAGUGAGGAACCUAUAGUUUGUAUGGCAUAUCUUUGAAUGGGCUUCGGGGCUAAAAAUCAACAGGCGCAAGUCAGAACUUUUUUAUCUAGGUAGAGCAACACAGAAAGGAGAAAGAUUAGCGAUGAUAUUAGGAUGUAAAGUGGGGUCUCUCCCGACGAAAUACCUCGGACUGCCGCUGUCGAACAAACGACUAAGUAGAGUGGAUUGGUGGCCAAUAAUCAAUAGAGUUGAGCGAUGGAUCGAAAGAUGGCAAGCAAAUCCUUUUUGCUGGAGGCAGACUUGUUCUGGUCAACUCGGUGUUAUCCAACCUGCCUCUCUACUUUUUCUCUAUCUUCAGAGCACCCAAGUGGGUAAUUAAGCGUAUCGAAGGGCUUCGCCGGGCAUUUUUUUGGAAAGGAAGGAGCACUGUAAAUGGGGGUCAUUGUUUGGUUAAUUGAAAAACAGUCUGUAGGAGUAAAAGGGGCGAGGGACUUGGGGUGAAGGAUCUGGACUUAAUGAACUUGGCGUUAUUGGCCAAAUGGUGGUGGGGGUUUCUCUCUGAUAGGUCGACUCUAUGGAGAGCGUUCUUGUGUGUGGCUUACUAUAAGAGGAGAAUACCUCUUAGGGAAGGAGUCACUUUCAGACCGCUCUCCCAAUGGUGGCAAGGCGUUCUGUCAACCAGUGACAUCUUUCGGUGUGGGGUUUCCUAUGCAAUCGGGGACGGUCGUAAUGUGAGCUUUUGGAAAGACCGAUGGUGCGGCCACCUCUCGCUACAGUCGACGUUCCCAUCUAGUUACAAAGAACAUACCUAGGUCCACUGCUGACGCCGUUGCUGUCCAGGAGUUGAAAGGAAUGAUAGACACCGUUACAUCAGCGAACGUUGGAGAUGAAGUUAGAUGGAGAUGGACCUAAGCAGAAGUGUUCACGGUCAAAUUUGUAUAAUUUCCUACAGGAGAGGGGUAAAAGAGACGAAAUUAGCACUGAUUUGGCAAACCAAAGUUCCACUAAAGGUAAAAUUUUUGGGUGGCUAGUUGUCAGACGGAAGGUACUAACGUAGGACAAUCUCCUAAAAAGGGGAUGGUGGGGUGAGGACACGUGCGCAUUAUGCCUGGAUGAAUUAGAGAACGUGGACCAUCUUUUCUUGAAUUGUAACGUCUCACAGACGCUACUGAGCUACCUACUACCUGACAAACGGGGCUUGGGAGCUUGUCGGUCUGUGGACGAUCUCUGGAAAGAGUGCAGCUGCAAACGAGGAGACAUAGGGAGAAGGGAGUCAGCAACCCUACUCGCUACUUGGUGGGCUCUUUGGCUAGAACGGAACAGGCGCAUCUUUGAGGACAAAAAAUUGGCGACGAGACAAGUGCUGGCGGAAGUACGAGCUCAAUACAGUUGUGGGAGGCCUGCUGCAUGUAGGGUUUUUUUUUUUCGACCCCCCCUGGAAGCCUAGUUGUUUCCCACCAUUGCUAAAUUCACCUUCUUUAUGAAUGAAGCGGUAGCAUGCUAUCUUUUCUCAAAAAAA